rnacentral:rRNA from 1 species
AUGGCUCCCGCCUCCCGCCCGCCGACGGCGACGCCGCUGGCCGCAUCCUCGUCCCGGAUAGAUUCGCCAUCGCUGAAGGCAGCCCUCGCAAUGGCUCUCAUCCACUACAAACGCCUCCCCUCGACAACCGCCGCCUCCGUGGGCACCUCCUCCCCGCCUCUUAUCCACUGGAAGCGCAAGGCUAAGGAGCGGAAGCGCGAGAUCCUCCGCCUCCGCGAAGAGCUCAAGCUCCUCCAAGAUGGGGUGCGCGGGGAGGCGAUGGAGCCGCCGGUUGCGUCAUGCCGCUGCCACUUCUUCGACGGGUGCAGCGACCUGCAGCCGCCGCCGCCAACGGGUGGAGGAGAGCAUUGGGUCGACGAGGUGCUGCGGAGGAGGUUCCUCAGAUUGGCGCGGUGGAAGGAGAAGCGACGGAGACUGGAUCGAUCUCUUCCCGUCACUAGUUUGAUGGAGUUCAAUAGCGAGGAUGAGAUACAACAGCUUAGCUUGUCUACUGACUUCCUGGUGGAGCUAUCAGAUGGGAUUUUUGCGAAAAGAGAAUCUUGCUCCACAUUUGCUACAUUCUCUCACCAAGCAGUAAAUUUCAUUUUGUCUUUACUGAAGAACAUUCUAUUGUCGAAAAGGGAAAAGGAACUGGUUGAGGAGAUAAUUGAUGGUUUAGUGACACGUUUGAUGAAAAGGAUGUGUACCAUUCCUGAAAAUGCUGGUACUUCAGAUUCAGGGCCAGUUGACUGCUCAGAUGCCCAAUUCAAUGUGCAGCACUUGUUCCGCAAGUUAGGAAAUGAAGAAUUCAUUGGUCAGCGGAUAAUCCUUGCAGUUUCUCAAAAGAUCUCAAAUGUAUCAGAAAGCUUGCUUCUCUUAGAUCCGUUUGAUGAUUCCUUCCCUGAUAUGCAUGGCAAUAUGUUCAUUAUGAUUCAAUUAAUCGACUUCCUCAUAUCUGAUUACAUGAAAAUUUGGCUAUGUUGCGAGCAAUUUGACAAAAAAAUAUUUGAAGAAUGGGUCAGAUCUAUUCUGAAGGCACGCAAAGACCUGGAAGUCGUAGAAAACAUAAAUGGGCUGUAUGUAGUGUACAUUGAGCGAGUGGUUGGAAGGUUGGCGAGGGAGGUGGCUCCUGCUGCUCACCAGGGAAAGCUGGACCUGGAUGUCUUUUCCAAACUCCUGUGCUGA